CAAGUCAUACAAAUGAAAGUUGACGGAACUCUGUCGCUGCCUGACGGGACACCGCAGGACAAGAAGCCCUGCGUGGAUGGUGCCAUUUCCUCUCACACCCAUUUCACAGAAGAGGAAACCGAGGCAGAGAAAGAAGAGAAGGCACAGAGGACAAAGCCUGUGGAGACAGGGGGCAGAAGGAGGGAGCCAUG